rnacentral:rRNA from 1 species
AGAGUUUGAUCAUGGCUCAGGAUGAACGCUAGCGGCAGGCUUAACACAUGCAAGUCGAGGGGCAGCGCAGGUAGCAAUACCGGGCGGCGACCGGCAAACGGGUGCGGAACACGUACGCAAUCUACCUUUAUCUGGGGCAUAGCCCGGAGAAAUCCGGAUUAACACCCCGUAAUAUAAUUGGAUGGCAUCAUUUGAUUAUUAAAACUCCGGUGGAUAGAGAUGAGCGUGCGUCCCAUUAGCUAGUUGGCAGGGUAACGGCCUACCAAGGCGACGAUGGGUAGCUGGUGUGAGAGCACGACCAGCCACACGGGCACUGAGACACGGGCCCGACUCCUACGGGAGGCAGCAGUGAGGAAUAUUGGUCAAUGGACGCAAGUCUGAACCAGCCAUGCCGCGUGAAGGAUGAAGGCCUUCUGGGUUGUAAACUUCUUUUAUGUGGGAAGAAAACUACGGUUUCUACUGUAGCCGACGGUACCAUAGGAAUAAGCACCGGCUAACUCCGUGCCAGCAGCCGCGGUAAUACGGAGGGUGCAAGCGUUAUCCGGAUUUACUGGGUUUAAAGGGUGUGUAGGCGGGCUAUUAAGUCAGUGGUGAAAUCUCCGGGCUCAACCCGGAAACUGCCAUUGAUACUAUUAGUCUUGAAUUCUGUUGAGGUGGGCGGAAUAUGUCAUGUAGCGGUGAAAUGCAUAGAUAUGACAUAGAACACCAAUUGCGAAGGCAGCUCACUAAGCAGCGAUUGACGCUGAGGCACGAAAGCGUGGGGAUCAAACAGGAUUAGAUACCCUGGUAGUCCACGCCCUAAACGAUGAUUACUCGACAUACGCGAUACACAGUGUGUGUCUGAGCGAAAGCAUUAAGUAAUCCACCUGGGAAGUACGUCCGCAAGGAUGAAACUCAAAGGAAUUGACGGGGGUCCGCACAAGCGGUGGAGCAUGGUGGUUUAA